CAGCGCCACUUCGUAUCUCCUCAUUCCCGACAUGUCCUGGGCUCCGAACGUCUCCUGGGGAGCGGCAUGAUUGAAUCAGGGAUUCCCUAGCCCCAGGUCCCCUUCUCCGUCAUGCUCAGGACGAGGCUGCCCAGUUCUCAGGCAGAAAAAUGUGAAAAGAGAGACAGGCCUAGCCUCCCAGCCUUCAUCUUUCUCCCGUGCUGGAUGCUUCCUGCCCUCGAACGUCAGAUUCCAAGUUCUUCAGUUUUGGAACUUGGACUGGCCCUCCUUGCUCCUCAGCCUGCAGAUGGCCUAUUGUGGGACCCUGUGACUGUGUUGUUGUGGUGGUAUUACUACUACUCAGCAAGAUUCUGGUUUUACUUCUCAUCUUGGCAGUUACCACCUCGAAGUUAGGCAUAGCUGUGUGACCCACUUUGGCCAAUGAAAUGUGAACAGAAAUGGCAUAUGUCACUUGUGGACAAAAACAUUUAAGCAAGAAUUUCCCUUGUUGUCUUCCUUAACUGGAGCGACCAUGGAAGCCUGUGUUGAGAUGAAGAAGCAUGGCAAAAGAUCAAAACACUUGAAAACUUGAGCUGCCACAUGGACUACAGCUGUGCUGGAGACUUGCCUGGACCCACAGCAGGCUUGGCACGCAUGGGGAAUAGACUUUUGUUGCAUUAUGCUCCUCAGAUUAGGAUGUCAUUUGUUAUUGCAGCAUUACCUAGCCUACUCUGACCAAUCAGGUGUGUUGGUGGUAGUUACCAGCUGUUAGAAAAUAGAGACGUAAGAUUACAAUACAACUAGAGGAGGAAAACAUGUCACCCCAAUAUC